GUUCUGAGAAGAGUGCAUAACUCCAGGUUCUGAGGACGUUCUGAGUGAUUGGAGCAGGGGGAAGAGUGUGGAUUGCUUGUGUGCGUGAACUCAAGCCUUUUUACCAUACUCACCGGACUUCUGUGCUUUACUCUGUGAAGCAAUGAUUAGUUGGAGGAGUCUUUAUGUGAGGUGAAUUUGCAGGCCUUGGUAGGAGGCCUCCCUGUGGCUCUUGCUAGCUGUGGAGAUUAACUGCUUUAGCUAUGUUGAGUAAGAUACAAUGAGUCAGAUGAUUUAAAGAAGUGGUUGGUUCUGAGAGAGGUGUUCCAUUAACACUUACUUGGAAAAAGGUUAAUACAUUUUUUUUUUUUUUAUGGGAGUGUAACUCAAUGGUAAAGUACUUGCCUAGCAUGUGCAAGGCUCUGGGUUCAGUCUUCCAGCACAAAAACAAACCCAAAGUAAUUUAUUGUGAUAGAGGUUCUGGGACACUUGUGUAUAAAGCUAUUUUUUUAAAAAUACUGUCAAAAAUAAAUGGUGAUUAUUUAGUUUGAGAGAUUGUUAAGACUAGAAAGUCAUUAAGCACAGAAAACAACUGUUGGGAUUAUUGUGGAAUAAUGUAGGUCAACAGAAGAGUGAGCACAAGUACUGAUUAGAAGUGCGUGUGCAGUGGUGCUGAGAGUGGAUUUCAGUCACUUUACCCCAUUCUGAAUAGGUGUAUAUUUACAAUACACUAAAUGUAGUUUCACUUCGUCGAAGCGCAGAGGCAGCAUCUCUUCAACACUUCCCCUGCACUCCAGGGUUGGGAUUACACCCCAUAUGCUGUAGAUUUAGGAAAACCACCUGGU
rnacentral:lncRNA from 1 species